GAGAGAGAGAGAGAGAGAGAGAGAGAGAGAGAGAGCACUCGGUACAUAGUUCGCUGCAUUAUAACGAUCACGAUGAUGAAAACGUACGAUGUACGUGCGAUCCGCAUUGAUAUUCACGGGGUCAUCAUUUUCGCAGGAGUGGAUCUAGAUCAGACUAGUGCGAUAAUAGUCAUAAAUAAAGGAGAGUCUCGAGAAGACUCAGUGAGUCAGCUGAAAGGGAAAAAACGGUGACGUACGUAAGAAUAAAGGAUCACGACAAGUCGUUGCAUUAUGCCGACUCGAGUCCAACCAUCGCAAUACUGUUCCUCGUCGCAUCGGCCCUUCGGCUGUCAGUCCUUCUGGCGGACAACCAGUCCACUUUGCAUUUUCGUCCCACGAGUAUCAUGGUCGUGCGGUAUCAUCCAGGUGGAGCCGCGAAUACUCAAGAUUUGGUUACAUACUCCUGAAGGUCGCCUAGUAUCCAGGAGAUAUCGUUCACAAUGCAACAACCUUUGCACCACGCAGCUCUCAGCACGGUAGUUCACACUUUGGCUUGGAGGUUUCUCUUCGUUGACCGCGUUCAAAAGCACUCUCCGGCGACGUUUCAGAGAGAUCGCGAAGAUCUCGCGCAUCAUCGUGCAUGAUGCAUUCGAAAAUGUCUAUCAAGGAGACUCUGGAGUUAACAGGCAGAACGUGAGUCUAGCCGCUAGCGAAUGAAUCGUGCAAAAGCAAAAAUGCUGCAUUUUCUCUCGAAAAAUGAGCGAGGCAACGUGGUGACAUCUACGGUACAUAACCUUCCGGGUAGAUCUGUCCUACUCUAAAGUAGGAAUAAUGGGGAUGAAACCAAAUGAGAGGAAUGUAUAGAAUGAGAGGAAGAAAGCACUUUUAUUGUGAAGGAGAAAUUUUGUGAAGUAAGUAGUCUAAUAUAAUAAGGUAAUAGUUAUCCUAAGUUAAUUAAUCUUUUAAAGCGCAUAAUUCAAGGAAUAUUCUAGUAACUAUACUAGUAGCAUCUAUCAGUCUUUAAAACCAAAAGUGGGGAGUUUCAACUGCCCUAUCCUAAAUGGUCCUUAUUGAUACCAGUGAUACUUAAAAGGUUAAUGUGUAUUUAUUUUUCCGUAUGCACACUAUUACACGUUAUUCUGUCCUCAUUUAUUGACCAAUGUGUGUGUUUCAUUCGCUACUAGUCCUCGCCAAGCAACUAAAAGAAAAGGACAGAUCUAUCCAGAUGGCUAUGUCUGCGUAGAUGUUGCCACGCUAUCUUCUAUGGCAGAGGUCGGUCUAUCUAUAUAUGUCCAUGAUAUAUGCAUACACUUGAUUUCUGAAUAGUUUGCGCACAUUUUUCCUCAUAACAUUUGCAGCGCUCUUUGUCAUAAUUGAGAGAGACUGACGUAUUUACGCGGUAAUCGCUUUUGGCAGCAGAGUUAUGAGUAAUUAAUUAUUCUUUUUAAGUAAUUAUCGCGUCUAAUUGACGAGUAAUAUGAGCUAAUUUAAUUGGAGACCGUUUAAUUAACAAUUGAUGCCAACACAUUCAAUAGACGAUUAAUUUCAACGAAUUCAAUCAAGGCCUCUGAGUACUUGCGUCGACUAUUUUUGUUUGAUGACGUCAAAAGUGAGAAAACAUAUGUUCAUGAUCUUUGCGUUAUACGUUGAAAUAAAAAGAUUUAUGCGUAAAACGAUACUUGUGAUCGAUUUAGCAAAUUUGUAAAAUAUUCCGAAUGCUUUCCUUUUACUGUUGAAAUCAAUAAAUAGUUGUAAAAUUAAUGUGACACGCAACUCAAAUUUUAACAAAACUUUUUUCAUCAUUUCUGUUAUGUUAAUUUUACGGUUAUUUAUUGAUUGUGACAGCAAAAGAGAGUGUUCGGAGUAUAUUACAAAUCUGCUAAAUCGAUUACAAGUGUGAUCCCCUUGUCCACAACCUUGCUUUAAUUCCUAAGCCUUAAGAAAUUGACCAACCACAGUUGA